CCAGCCAUCGUGCUACUUCAGAAUUAAAAAGAAAAAAGAAAAAGAAAAAGAUAACAGGCAAGAAGAAAUAGUAUAAUAGCUCUUUCUUG
rnacentral:ribozyme from 1 species